UCCUGCUCUUAUAGUUUCUUCCCUGAUUCUGAUGGAAGUUUGGCUCCAUGGACCAAGUCUGCAUGUCAGGGUGUUGGAGACAAGAGUGGAUGUUUCUGAACUAAUGGUACAGGGAAGAGGAUUGUCAUUGAGGAAGCUGGUGGGGAGCGUGCUGUUAGAGACACUCAAUAGGACAAAUAGCUCAUGGGGGUAAGUACACAGAAAUCAAAUUGAGUAACAUU
rnacentral:lncRNA from 1 species